rnacentral:ribozyme from 14 species
AAAUAAUCCAUCAGGGACAAAGAAAUGAAAAAGUAGUAUGUAUUGAAACAAAAAAAAUACACACACAUUUAUAUUUAUUUUAUUUUGGAGUAUUUUUUUAUUCUAUUUUUUC